rnacentral:rRNA from 1 species
GACAGAGGGGGCAAGCGUUGCUCGGAAUCACUGGGCGUAAAGGGCGCGUAGGCGGGAUGGCAAGUCAGUCGUGAAAUCUCUCGGCUCAACCGAGAAACGUCGGCUGAUACUGCCGUUCUUGAGGGAUGCAGAGGAGACUGGAAUUCCCGGUGUAGCGGUGAAAUGUGUAGAGAUCGGGAGGAACACCGGUGGCGAAGGCGGGUCUCUGGGCCGAAACUGACGCUGAGGAGCGAAAGCGUGGGGAGCAAACAGG